ensembl:lncRNA novel transcript
AGAGGUUUCCUGGGCCAGCCUUGCAAUACCAUCACUCUUGGGCCCAGCAUUCCAGACCUGAAAAAUCCUUAGAAUUACCCAGCUAAUUUCCUCAGUUAUCCACUAGCUAGUGGGUUCUUGAUUUAGCAGUCUCUAUUAUCAAAACAAAAAUUCCAAUUUCCUUACAAAUUGGAUAAAAGCAACAUGUCCAUGUCAUAAACACAGGAGGAAUGAGAUUUUUACUGCAGCAGCAUAUUUUGGUAUUUUGGAUAGCUGUGUACCUAUAAGAGCUAAAAGUAGUCUUUCAGAUUUUAAUUGUAUUGGAUAAAAAUUUUCCUGCCUUCUUAAAUAUGUCCUUAAAUUCUUCUUGGCGUAUAGUAGGACAAACAAACAUUUAAUGUAUUCAUCCUUUGACUCAACACCAUGUGAUUAUACAGUGAUAUUCUUAAAUCUUGCUCCAGUAUGGAGGACCAUUUGCCUCUGUACUUGCUUCCGAGUGUUUUUUAAAAUAAAUUUGGCUGCUUUUGAUGUUUUUCAUGCUUCCUUGCUUCUAAAACUGUCUGCCUUGUAGUUUGUAUCCCUCUUAGUUUGUUGUGUGUUGGAAAAGCAUUUGGUUGAAUCUGUGUCUAGCUUCAGAAUAAAUAGAUUCUAAGAG